AGAGUUUGAUCAUGGCUCAGGAUGAACGCUAGCUACAGGCUUAACACAUGCAAGUCGAGGGGAAACGACAUCGAAAGCUUGCUUUUGAUGGGCGUCGACCGGCGCACGGGUGAGUAACGCGUAUCCAACCUGCCCACCACUUGGGGAUAACCUUGCGAAAGUAAGACUAAUACCCAAUGACGUCUCUAGAAGACAUCUGAAGGAGAUUAAAGAUUUAUCGGUGAUGGAUGGGGAUGCGUCUGAUUAGCUUGUUGGCGGGAUAACAGCCACCAAGGCGACGAUCAGUAGCCGACCUGAGAGGGUGACCGGCCACAUUGGGACUGAGACACGGCCCAGACUCCUACGGGAGGCA
rnacentral:rRNA from 1 species